rnacentral:tmRNA from 1 species
CCGCUUGCAAUGGCCACAGGCGCUUACUAUAUUUCGAUCGUUCGCAAGAACUAUGGACAUAAACGCGCUCGUAAUAAGCGGAUCGGACCCGGGGGCGGUACCCGGCGGCUCCACCAAAAUCCCAUCAUUGGCGGGACAGCGGGGCCGAAACAGGAUCGACGAACGUGUAAAGGGGUUUGCUUUGUCCCGGUGAGGUACCACCGUUAUCGGUCCGUAAAGCAUAAUUGCCAAUGACAAUCGUGCUCCGGUUGCAGUUGCUGCGUAAGCGGUAACAAGACCGAAAACUUAAGCCCUUGCGCCUAGCCGCGUAAGGCGGGGUUCGCAGGUACCUGGCAACAGAAACCUGCAUU